rnacentral:rRNA from 1 species
GAUGAACGCUGGCGGCGUGCCUAAUACAUGCAAGUCGAGCGAACGGACGAGAAGCUUGCUUCUCUGAUGUUAGCGGCGGACGGGUGAGUAACACGUGGAUAACCUACCUAUAAGACUGGGAUAACUUCGGGAAACCGGAGCUAAUACCGGAUGAUAUUUUGAACCGCAUGGUUCAAAAGUGAAAGACGGUCUUGCUGUCACUUAUAGAUGGAUCCGCGCUGCAUUAGCUAGUUGGUAAGGUAACGGCUUACCAAGGCAACGAUGCAUAGCCGACCUGAGAGGAUGAUCGGCCACACUGGGACAGAGACACGGUCCAGACUCCUACGGGAAGCAGCAGUCGGGAAUCUUCCGGCAUGGGCGUAAGCCUGACAGAGCAACGCCGCGGGAGUGGUGCAGGUCUUCGGAUCGUAAAACUCUGUUUAUAGGGAAGAACAUAUGUGUAAGUGACUGUGCACAUCUUGACGGUACCUAAUCAAGAAGCCACGGCUAACUGCGUG